GACGAACGCUGGCGGCGUGCUUAACACAUGCAAGUCGAACGGAAAGGCCCUGCUUUUGUGGGGUGCUCGAGUGGCGAACGGGUGAGUAACACGUGAGUAACCUGCCCUUGACUUUGGGAUAACUUCAGGAAACCGGGGCUAAUACCAGAUAGGAGCUCCUGCUGCAUGGUGGGGGUUGGAAAGUUUCGGCGGUUGGGGAUGGACUCGCGGCUUAUCAGCUUGUUGGUGGGGUAGUGGCUUACCAAGGCUUUGACGGGUAGCCGGCCUGAGAGGGUGACCGGCCACAUUGGGACUGAGAUACGGCCCAGACUCCUACGGGAGGCAGCAGUGGGGAAUAUUGCACAAUGGGCGGAAGCCUGAUGCAGCAACGCCGCGUGCGGGAUGACGGCCUUCGGGUUGUAAACCGCUUUCGCCUGUGACGAAGCGUGAGUGACGGUAAUGGGUAAAGAAGCACCGGCUAACUACGUG
rnacentral:rRNA from 1 species